CAAAAUCAAUGUUGUCAUGGUUUCCAAGGAAGCCACGCCAAAAAUCAAGCUCUUUUACCUCAUGUGUCUAGUAUCUAGCUUGUGCUUAUUAGCUAGCUGUAAGGCCAGGGAGCUAUGGCCUCAGAAGGAACUCUGAAACUUCACCAACCACCCUUGCUCCGACGACCACGCCCCCCUAAAGCUCUUACUGCUCCCCCCCCCAAAGCCAAUGAUCAUCACAGGCCGAGCCCUCGGAAGUCACUGCAUGGCCACUACACUGAUUCCACUACACUCUCUACCCACUGCACACAUGAUGUUCACACAAAGACUAACUUUUCUAUCCACCCUCUCUAUCCAAAAGGCCCGAGUUUUUUUCCGCCAGGGAAAAAGAUGGUAGCAUGUCACGGUGCUGGUGCCGUCUACCUACCCCCACUCUACAACAACGAAGAGAUAUACAACAAAUCAGUUAUAGGCAAUGAAAAUAACAACGACUCUAUGAACUUUGAACACCUUGACAGUUUGGAUAACUUCACGCUAGCAGAGUUCCAGAUGGUCGCCCCACAGCGCAGGGUUCUCUCACCAAUAAAUAGUGCCAAGGUAAUCUCACGACAAAACUACCUCAAGUUGACGGGAUGGUUUGCAGUGAACGUACCCACCCAGGAGAGUUUAAACACUGUGGAGUUGGAAGCCGCUCUACAGUCACCUCAGGAACGAAAACCAAGACAUCAAGUACUGUUAGAGUUACAAUCUAUGGUGGAUGAGGCUAUGAUGGCUGGCUCUAGUAGUGUAUCUGUGGAGGAGGAGGAAGAGAGCCGGGAGGUUAUGGAGCCCCCAGACAUAGUCAUUGGUGGCUCUGUGUCCAGGUACUUUUGUGGGCAGAGAAGAAGCAGGUCACCUUUCAUGUCUAGCGACCAGCCUCAGAUCUCCCCUUCUGAGCUGGCCAUCCUGGACUGUAUGUUGAGUGGGGGACGUUGUUUGGACCUGAAGGCACACUUUCUCUCACAGCUGCCUGACCUCUCACCACUUGCCAAGACACUCACCUACCUCAACCUAUCCUUCAACUGCUUAAAUGUGUUCCCAGUGGAGGUGCUGCAAUUGUCCCAACUAGUGUCUUUGCAAUUAAGGAACAACCCUAUCAAGGAACUACCCAACGACAUACGCAAUCUCACUAAACUGCGAGUGUUAUGUCUGUCAUUCAACCUCCUCUCUGACCUCCCUUCUGGAUUGUUUGAUCUGCAAUCUCUGUGUGACCUUGACCUGUCCUACAAUACCCUCCACUCACUCCCUAGACACAUCUCCAUGCUCAUGACUCUUCGCAAGCUGAAUGUGGAGGGCAACCAGUUGAUUGGUGUGCCCAGCACAAUGAUGACCCUGCCCUUGACUCACCUACUUGUGGGGGACAAUCUCAUGCAUCCUGUACUGUGGGUGGAGAACAGUAGGAACCAACCACAGGACUUGGUUGACUUGUGCUCUAUGUUGGUGAGUAAGUGUGUGUCCGCAACAGACGAUCCAAGACUCCCUGAGCAAGUCAUCAGUGUGCUUCAGAGGUCGUCGUGUGGUCAGAGAUGCGACCACUGCCAGUGUUCUCUGUAUGGGUGUGGUCUGAGGGUGAUUCGCAGUGUGGGUGGGAGUGUGCUGGGUAUCAUUAAUCUCCCCUUUGUGUUCCUGACCUGUUCACCAUCUUGUAGUACCUCUCUCAAACAAAGGACCAAAUGGAAGCUACCAUUUGAAUCAAAAGUACUAUGACAGUCCUCAAAAUAUCAUUUCAAUGUUUUCACUUGUCAAUUAAUUUUAUUAUCAAUUUUGGAACAAUGUUGUCAUGGUGUUGUGUAUUUGAGAACAGAGCUUUUAUGUUGCUCCAUAUCCCACCACCAGCAAAUGAUAAGGUCAUAGUUAUAACUACAGUGGAACCUCUGUUAACAACCACCUCCGAAAAAAGGCCAGUUGCUAUAUAA